rnacentral:rRNA from 1 species
UACGGAGGGAGCUAGCGUUGUUCGGAAUUACUGGGCGUAAAGCGCGCGUAGGCGGUUACUCAAGUCAGAGGUGAAAGCCCGGGGCUCAACCCCGGAACUGCCUUUGAAACUAGGUGACUAGAAUCAUGGAGAGGUCAGUGGAAUUCCGAGUGUAGAGGUGAAAUUCGUAGAUAUUCGGAAGAACACCAGUGGCGAAGGCGACUGACUGGACAUGUAUUGACGCUGAGGUGCGAAAGCGUGGGGAGCAAAUAGG